rnacentral:rRNA from 1 species
GACGUAGGGCGCGAGCGUUGUCCGGAUUUAUUGGGCGUAAAGAGCUCGUAGGCGGCUCGUUGCGUCGGCUGUGAAAACCCGCAGCUCAACUGUGGGCUUGCAGCUGAUACGGGCGGGCUGGGAUUCGGUAGGGGAGACUGGAAUUCCUGGUGUAGCGGUGAAAUGCGCAGAUAUCAGGAGGAACACCGGUGGCGAAGGCGGGUCUCUGGGCAUUACCUGACGCUGAGGAGCGAAAGUGUGGGGAGCGAACAGG